AACUUAUCCCUCUUUAUCCAUUCAGCUUUGAAGUUUGCACAUGGGCAUUGUUCACCUCGUCAGGAAGAAUCAGCUUUUCCAUGAAGAAAGGAGUGUGAAGGAUCCUAUGAAACCAGUUGAAAUUUGGACUACACUGUUUUUUACUGUGAGCUGCUAAGUUUGGGAGUCUUGUGGACAGAAUCCAGAGUGAGCCACCCCAUGCUUAGUUCAUCAUGUGACCUCUCUUCCAGCACUUCGGAUCUUAGCUUUUGGGCCUGAAGACUAAGAAUGGAGCAUCAAUAAUUAAAGAUAAGAGAAAUGAAGAUUUAGAGAGGGUAAUAACCUGCCCAAAGUUAUGGCUGUUAAGUAGGCAAGUUGAGUAGGAAAUUUAAGGUGAUCUCACUAUCACCUCUUGCAUUUAGUCAUAUUCAAUACUUGCAUAAUAUGAACAUACCUUUUAACUUCCCAGACCUUUGAGGAUGAUGGAGUUAAAAAGCGAAGAAGGUUUUAAGAUACCUUCUCCAAGGACUGUGUUAAGUGUGUGUAUGUCUAGGUACUAAUGUGGAAAUGACAAGUUAGACAAGCAGAUGUCUUCACUGUGUAACAACACCAGGAUGAUUUUAUGGGACAUAUUGGAGUGUUUCUGGAGGGAGCCUAGCCAUAUGCCAUAGACCUGUGGAGCUUUUUCAAAAUUAAAGAGAGCCAUGCAAGCCAUCUAUUGUUAAGAUUUUAAGAUAACCAGAAAAUAGAACAUAUAUCCAUGUGCACCCUCACAUCCACCAUAAACACUUUCUAUUCAAUACAUGAUUAUUCGUAGACACAAGGACCCAGAAUGUAUUCUUUCCAGACUUAAACUGUGGAUUCUGUACUUAUAGAAAAUA